rnacentral:rRNA from 1 species
AGAAUCACUCUCGGCAACGGAUAUCUAGGCUCUUGCAUCGAUGAAGAACGAAGUUGCGCCCGANGCCAUCAGGUUGAGGGCACGUCUGCCUGGGCGUCACAU